rnacentral:lncRNA from 1 species
CUCUCCACCCGACCCAAUCCAUGUCCUCAUCAAAACGACCCCUUGUAAUGCAUGACAAAUCCUCGCCGUCGAGGUUAUCAAAUCUAACGGCCAGGAACUCACCCCUUAUUAAUAUAAAUCUGUCCGAACAAGCUUAACCCCUCCCCCCAUUUUUCUCCCUCAUCGUCUCCACCAAACAGCCCUAUCUCUAAGAACCAUAAUUACGCUGCCAUGAAAUCCCUAAGCCGUCGAUGGCGGCGCCGGUCACCAAACCUUACCCCAUUAACACCCAAUGUUUUCCUUCUCAUCUCUAUCUAAAUAUAUAACUCACUUCCUUCGAAUCACAACUCAGCUGCUCGAAUCUUGAUUUAAAGAUCAGACUCAAAACCCUAGUUCAUCAAAACUUCCCCAAAUUUACACCCUACAAUCCCUGGACCUCCCUCACCCUAAUACCUAACUAAAUCCCUUCAAACCCCAUUGAAGUUUGACGAAUAUUGAAUCUAGGGUUCACACGUUUCAAGGCUGUUGUGAAGAUUUUCAAGUCGAUGAUUUCUAGCUAAUAUUAGAAAUAUAUUUUUGACAAAAUAGAUGUAUAAUAUUAACCAAAAAUUAUUUUCAGACGGUUUUCUUAUGAAGUCCAAAAUCAGUAAGGUUUCUUUCUUUACUUCUUUUUAACAUUCUCAUGAGUUUCAGGUUUUGAUUAGAUUAAUUAGUGCUCUUGAUUGUUAGCUGACUUUAUUUCAUUUGUUUUUCUAUAUUAAUUUUAGUCGAUCUUAAUCUGACUAUGUUAGUCUAGGCAAAAUUUUGAUUACUCGUUUCUUAAUUGAAUCAAUUCUAUUUUCAUAGUGUUUAAUUUCCAGUUUAGUUUUCAGUUUUUUGUUUGAUUCUAUUCUGAUUUCUCGUGUUCUGAUUUGGUUCUUGAAACAUCUUCCUGACUGUUUGGAUUUAGCUCAUUUUGAUUUUUUCUUAGUUAAAAUCUGAUUUUAGUUUAAUUCUUUAGGAUUUAUUAUGCUGAUUUUAGAUUUAAUACUUGGUAAUUGUUCUGUGUUUAGUUUGAUUCUUCUUCUUUUAAAUUAGUUUGCCUUCAUUUAGUUUAGUCUAGUGUUGAUUAAUCAGAAAUUUCUUUAGUUUGGUAAUUUGUCUUAACUAGUUUAGGUUUAGUUUGUUUGGUUAAAGUGUUAAUCUCAAGGUUGAACUAAGGCCAAUGGGCUUUUGUUGCGUAGUAAUUUCAGGAAACAAAUAAGGGUAGUUUAGGCAUGAAAAAGGGUAAUUUUGUUAGGAAUAGUAAUUUCAAAAUAAAGGCAAGGGUAGUAUAGGUAUUGUAUGAGUAGAAGAACACCUUAGAGCCUUCUAGAAUGGGGCUUUAGUGUACGUUUCUGCAUUUUUAAUACAAUAACUUGGAUAACGAGUCUCAAAUUCAGGGAUUAAUCACCAAUUUCUGAAAAUAAAAAGGAGAAAAAAUGUGUGAAAGGGUCCAAAACUUUCUGCCAUGUUAUGGCCUAUAAAAGGCAGCUCUAGUACCUUCACUAAGGGGUGUUUUGGACUACCUAGAAAUACCCAAAGCUCCAGCUAUCUAAUUCCUCCAAAAUCCUUCUCUAAUUUCCAGAUCUGUAUUAUAUUUUUGAAAUUCAAACAUUCAAAACCCCAAAAACGAUAGAAAUCACUAGAAACUAAAAAAACUUCAGGGCACUGCUCCAUUGCAAAUUUUAGUCAACUUUGAGUUUCAGAUUUGAGAGUGCAUCACUUAGAGACUCAGUAGUGUGGCUGUUUCAUUUCAAGCUGUUUGAGGUUCCACUGGUUCUCAUUUUGGUCAAGUUGUUGCUGUGUUUGGAUUUGUUAUACGAGUUUCAUUUUGUUUUCAAAUCAAUUUCGAUCUUUGAGCUAUUUCUGGUUGGAAUUGCAUUUUCUGUUGCUGAUGUGCUAAUUUCUUCUUCUUCUGUUAAAUUUUGCUCCCCAGGUACACAACUUGAGACUCUAUGGUUGUAACUUCACAUGGUUGAAACAUGGAAUAAACUGAGAAAGAUUCUCUUGCUGUGGAUUUAGAUUCUGAUAUUUCUGUAGAUUUAAAACAAUAUUCUGUGAUUCAAUUUCUUGGUUGUUGUGCUUGAAAUUCUGUAAUAAUCCUGGACUCAUUCAUAGAUGUGUAGACUAUUGAAUUAGCCUUCUGAAUAGUGAACCUGCGUUGCAACCUUAGUGUGAGUUAAUUUGAUUUCCUAGUAUAAUGUGGUGUGGUACAGAGCAGCUUGCCUCCAGUAGUAUUUUUGUUUAAAUAAGUUAAACAGUUUGUAUUCCAGUAUGCUAGCUCAUGUGUCUAGCUUUGAAAUCGUGUGUAAAUGACAUUAGUCUAAGCAGUUUAUUUGCCAUCUUUCAAUGCUAAUGAAUGGGGUUAAUUCUUAAUUCUUAGACACCUGAAUUAUUCUUCAAUUUCCAGUUUAUUUCGCAUUUUGGGAGUAAUUACAAAGUCACCAGCAGUAAUUGAAUAAAAUAGUUAGAAUAUAAAAUUCAUUUGUGUUGAUAUCAGUAGGCGUUGGCCU